UAAAGAUCAUCCUAGUCUUCUAUCCUUCUUUCAGAUUUGUGUAAUAGAAUAAAACGGUAGCUCACAUUGCUUUUCAAGCACAACCAUGCCAAUUAAGAUAUCCAGUCUUGACUGAAAGUGAUGGAGAAUUCACCGCACCCCUAGGACCACAGCAGGUAAAAUACUGAAGAAGCAUCCACAUUGAAA